UCGCUCCUACCGAUUGAGUGAUCCGGUGAAUAAUCCAGACUGCAGCUUUGUCCAGUUCCUGAACAUUGUAGCGGAAAGUUUAGUGAACCUUAUCACUUAGAGGAAGGAG
rnacentral:rRNA from 1 species